AAGGAUUAGUAGAAGAAAGUUCCGAGGCCAAGGUCGAAAGGAGAACUGCGAAGAAUGACGUCAACGACAACAACAACGGCAGUGACCAUUGAAACAAACGAACGGAGGGAAGCGGCGCCGUCUGGAUGGCUAAUUCGCAUCUCCUUGAAUAUCUUUCUUCGGCGACCGUAACCGACAAGCGUGCUUCCACAGUGAUUCAAAUCUUAACAUUGGUAAAGACGAACAGAGCCCAGGUCCAGACACGCUAUUACAUGAGAACGUUUCGACAGGAUGAAGUGGCGUUAGAGAACGCUUGACACUGAAGACGCGCGCUUCGACACAUACCGCGGACUUAUUUUGACAUGGGCCAGUCAUUCAA